rnacentral:rRNA from 1 species
AACGAACGCUGGCGGCAGGCCUAACACAUGCAAGUCGAGCGAAGCCUUCGGGCUUAGCGGCGGACGGGUGAGUAACGCGUGGGAACGUGCCCUUUGGUACGGAAUAGCCCCGGGAAACCGGGAGUAAUACCGGUUGUGGUCGAGAGACGAAAGAUUUAUCGCCAAAGGAUCGGCCCGCGUUGGAUUAGGUAGUUGGGGGGGUAAUGGCCUACCAAGCCGACGAUCCAUAGCUGGUUUGAGAGGAUGAUCAGCCACACCGGGACUGGGACACGGCCCAGACUCCUACGGGAGGCAGGAGUGGAGAAUCUUAGACCAUGGGGGAAACCCUGAGCUAGCCAUGCCGCGUGAUCGAUGAAGGCCUUAGGGUUGUAAAGAUCUUUCAGUGGGGAAGAUAAUGACUGUACCCACAGAAGAAGCCCCGGCUAACUCCGUGCCAGCCGCCGCAGUAACAC